UUCACAUCGCAAGCCCCAACAGAGCGCUUGGCACUCUGGGAUCCCUGCGCGGUCGCGAGCGCGGCCGACGCCGUCGAGAUCGACGCGGAUGCUUCUGGGGGAGCUGUGCCCCUCCAGGAAUGCCCAUCCGACCACCGAUGGGAGGCCUCCCUGUCGAGUGCGGGCUAGAAGGAGAGGGGCGAAC
rnacentral:rRNA from 1 species